rnacentral:rRNA from 1 species
AUGAAUUCCCUAAUUUGGAACUGCCAGGGGGCGGGGAACCGCCGGACAGUUCGUGAGGUGUUGGCCCUCUCGAAAACCAACAUCCCCAAGCUUGUGUUUCUUUGUGAAACAAGGCAAGCAGCUGAUAAGAUGGAAAAAUUGAGAUGGAGAUUAGGUUUGAAAGGAUUUUGUGGUGUGAAUAGCUCGGGAUUGAGUGGUGGUCUUGCGCUCUACUGGGACGAA